rnacentral:rRNA from 1 species
CCUGCUUUUGUGGGGUGCUCGAGUGGCGAACGGGUGAGUAACACGUGAGUAACCUGCCCUUGACUUUGGGAUAACUUCAGGAAACUGGGGCUAAUACCGGAUAGGAGCUCCUGCUGCAUGGUGGGGGUUGGAAAGUUUCGGCGGUUGGGGAUGGACUCGCGGCUUAUCAGCUUGUUGGUGGGGUAGUGGCUUACCAAGGCUUUGACGGGUAGCCGGCCUGAGAGGGUGACCGGCCACAUUGGGACUGAGAUACGGCCCAGACUCCUACGGGAGGCAGCAGUGGGGAAUAUUGCACAAUGGGCGGAAGCCUGAUGCAGCAACGCCGCGUGCGGGAUGACGGCCUUCGGGUUGUAAACCGCUUUCGCCUGUGACGAAGCGUGAGUGACGGUAAUGGGUAAAGAAGC